rnacentral:rRNA from 1 species
UCAGGAUGAACGCUAGCGGGAGGCCUAACACAUGCAAGCCGAGCGGUAGAGAUUCUUCGGAAUCUUGAGAGCGGCGUACGGGUGCGGAACACGUGUGCAACCUGCCUUUAUCAGGGAGAUAGCCUUUCGAAAGGAAGAUUAAUACCCCAUAAUAUAUUAAGUGGCAUCACUUGAUAUUGAAAACUACGGUGGAUAGAGAUGGGCACGCGCAAGAUUAGAUAGUUGGUGAGGUAACGGCUCACCAAGUCUACGAUCUUUAGGGGGCCUGAGAGGGUGAUCCCCCACACUGGUNNNGAGACACGGACCAGACUCCUACGGGAGGCAGCAGUGAGGAAUAUUGGACAAUGGGUGAAAGCCUGAUCCAGCCAUCCCGCGUGAAGGACGACGGCCCUAUGGGUUGUAAACUUCUUUUGUAUAGGGAUAAACCUAGAUACGUGUAUCUAGCUGAAGGUACUAUACGAAUAAGCACCGGCUAACUCCGUGCCA